UUCAAGGUAACAAUGACCCUACUAGUUCUCGGGGUCGAGAAAAGGGUAGGAAGGGAAAGAGGAGGGUAGAAAAUAAUAGUCCCUCUUGUCCACCCUUUUCAGAGAUGCCUAUGUCUUAUCCUCCACCACACGGAUAUACUGAGCUGCCGCAGAAUCACGAGCCGUACACCUUCAUUCAGACACCAGGUCUUCCAUCACAGGGCCAUAGGACUAUACGUCCGACAUACAGUCCAGCUGCCUCACAGCCAUCUGAAUCACAGCCAUCUAUAUCACAUCCACAUGGAUCACAUCCCUAUAUAUCAUAGCCACAUGGAUCGUAUCCAUCCAUGUCACAACCACUCAAGUCACAGCCAUCAGUAUCACAUCCACUUGGGUCGCAUCCAGCUAUGUCGCAUUCACAGGGAUUGCAACUAUCUUCAUCAUCGACUCCAUCUAUUGCAGGCCUUCGCCUGCGAGGCAGUAGCUCUGACCCGCCUACACCGUCUUCACAUGCCUCUGAUACACAUGCUUCGGAUAGUGAUGACGAGGUAGUGCAUUAUGAUCGAUAUGGCAGGAUCAUCAUAGUCCUUGAGGGUGAUGGGUUCAGGCCGGGUAAUAAGACUAUGAAGAUAAUCACCAAUGCCAUCAUAAAGCUUUUAUGAUGGCCCUUAUGCGACUUGGACUGAUUGCCCAUUCUCGCUGAAAGAGCAAAUUUUCAAUCAAUUUAAGAGCAAGUGUGUAUGGGAAGACCGCUAUAGCACGAAAGUGGCUGUAAAUUUUCAUCAUAAAGCUCGCAAGAGAUUGGCGGAUGCUUUUUCGGAUGCUAGUAAGAA